AACGGUCUAUACCUGCGGUACCUGCGGAGGGAUCAUUAUAGAGUGGUAAACCUCCCGUAAAAGGGGGGGACCUCCUGUCCUUUGUAGGCUCUUUUUUAAAAGGGCUUUUUUUAAUUUUCUGCUUCGGUGGGGUUAUCCCACCGGAACAACCUCAAAACUCUCAUCACAAAAUCGUUCUGUCUGAGAACCUUUUAUAAUAAAAAAAAACUUUCAACAACGGAUCUCUAGAUCGGAAGAGCA
rnacentral:misc_RNA from 1 species